GGUGGUCGAGAGGAAGGUCCCCCACACUGGUACUGAGACACGGACCAGACUCCUACGGGAGGCAGCAG
rnacentral:rRNA from 1 species